rnacentral:rRNA from 1 species
AUAAGUCAGUGGUGAAAGCCCAUCGCUCAACGGUGGAACGNCCAUUGAUACUGUUAAACUUGAAUUAUUAGGAAGUAACUAGAAUAUGUAGUGUAGCGGUGAAAUGCUUAGAGAUUACAUGGAAUACCAAUUGCGAAGGCAGGUUGCUACUAAUGGAUUGACGCUGAUGGACGAAAGCGUGGGUAGCGAACAGGAUUAGAUACCCUGGUAGUCCACGCCGUAAACGAUGGAUACUAGCUGUUGGGAGCAAUCUCAGUGGCUAAGCGAAAGUGAUAAGUAUCCCACCUGGGGAGUACGUUCGCAAGAAUGAAACUCAAAGGAAUUGACGGGGGCCCGCACAAGCGGUGGAGCAUGUGGUUUAAUUCGAUGAUACGCGAGGAACCUUACCAAGGCUUAAAUGUAGUUUGACCGAUUUGGAAACAGAUCUUUCACAAGACAAAUUACAAGGUGCUGCAUGGUUGUCGUCAGCUCGUGCCGUGAGGUGUCAGGUUAAGUCCUA